rnacentral:other from 1 species
CGCUCUCUGCCGGGAGCGACAGCGUGCGCAACAUUUGCCUUGUCCCUAGAUGACGACCACGGGGAUGCAACGGUUGCCGGGAGUGCAAGUCCGCCUGCGAGCGGAAAGCCCGAUGGCCGCCGCGCGUUCCCACUUGAACCAUUGGUUCAAGGUCGUUUCGCACGCAUCGCCUCGGCGGAGGCCU